UACGGAAGGGGCAAGCGUUGUUCGGAAUCAUUGGGCGUAAAGGGCGCGUAGGUGGCGGCCCAAGUCCAUGGUGAAAGCUCGAUGCUCAACAUCGAGUCGGCCACGGAUACUGGGUUGCUUGAGCACUGUAGGGGCAGAUGGAAUUCCGGGUGUAGCGGUGGAAUGCGUAGAGAUCCGGAAGAACACCGGUGGCGAAGGCGGUCUGCUGGGCAGUUGCUGACACUGAGGCGCGACAGCGUGGGGAGCAAACAGG
rnacentral:rRNA from 1 species